ACACAUACGCGUGAAUCAUCGAAUCUUUGAACGCACCUUGCACUUGUGGAGUCCAUCCACCAGUAUACCUGUUUGAGUAUCAUAAACAUUUAUCCAAGCGAUUGGGAUUUGAGGAUCAGCGGCGGCGGCUUGUUGUGCAGAGCUUUGGCUUUGGCAGGUUGACGGUGCUGUUCCUUUAAAUGCAGCGAGGAACAGAGCUUUCGGGAUCUUGUUCAAGUGGGGAUAUUUUUGCAUUCGUGCAAAGGUAGUCGCAAGAGCAUGCUAUCUGCAGUUAGUCGGAUGUUUCCUUCGAAAGACGAAGAUGGAAGAGGCAAACAGCGGCGGCGGGUCUUUAAAUCUUUAAAAGCCCGACGCUUCUGCUUCCGCUUCUGCUUCCGCUUUCACUGAACAAAUGUGAUCUCAAAUCAGGCAAGACUACCCGCUGAACUUAAGCAUAUCAAUAAGCGGAGG
rnacentral:rRNA from 1 species